UUAAUUUGUGUGACUUUACCAAAGCCUUUGAUUUGUAAGCAUAUGUAUUCCUUCAGUUGCGAGCAUGUGCGCUGUGUGCCAGGGUUAGCCAUGAGUCUGACAGGUGCGCACGGACUGGGUUUGGUAAUGAAUCGGCUUUAAUAACUUAAAUAUAUUUAACUUAGUGCAUUGAUUUAUUACGAAUCAGUCUAUUAGUUUGUGUGACGUGCUUUUAUUUUGUCACAUUUGCCUUCUAGGUGCCAUGGUUUAAUUUACUCGACAAGAUGAGUCACUGAAUAAAACGGCCGAUUUUGUCAAAUUAGGUGUCAAAUUUCAUUUGACCUCCCCUCCACUAGAUGGCAGACAUGUCAUACUUCAUCCCCAACUCAAAACGUCAUGCUUCUAUACAAAAUGUUCUAGGUACAGCGCAUUGAAUCAGUGCGAACAAAAGCAGAGCUAGUGUGUGAGUGAGCCAUUUUACCAGAGCCUCUCCGCAAUCGCGGCGACAGAAUUGUGGUGGAGACUUUGUCUAAUGCCACUGGGUAUGUUAGACGAGGUCGAAGUAUUCAUAGGACAUUCAUAGGCAAAAUGUUGUAUUUGUUCUCAUUGGGGGCAACGUGGUGGCAGGGUGGGGAGUCGCAAUGACCAUGACAGUUGUCCGAGCUCUGCAAACUCGGCAGGCUGCUCGUAUCAUCUCACUCAUGAUCUGUGCCUUGCCGUGGCGAGUGAGCUUUUGAACUAAACAGGUCUUGUCUACUUGUGUUUUUGUGUCAUAUGAAUAUAUAUAUGUAUAUAUGUAUAUGUGUAUAUAUAUAUAUAUAUAUAUAUAUAUGUGUGUGUCCCAUACAUGGAACCAGAGUGCCUACUGUUUGUAGUAAAUGGAAAAUCUCCACAGCAAAAUGCCAACCACUACAUGCAUUCGGUUUGUUUCUACCAUUUAUUAGUAAUGAUUUGCACAGUUUGUUUACUAUUUACCUGAGAAUUCAGUAUUGUGCAAUAUAGCAUACAGAAGGUGAGGGACAUUUUGAGGGGAAAGAAGUGCUGCAUUUUAUCAUUUAAACAGAUUUUUCAUGAAAAUUCUUUAAUCCAAGAUUGCUGCCUCCAUAUGACGUCAUUAUAUGCAAAUUAGAUUGGAAAAUUGAAUCCCUACAUUAAUUUUGGGUCAUCCUUAAUAUUUCUCUAAUUUACAGAAAGUCUUUUUAGAAAGUCAGAUAGCCUUUUGAAUUUAAGAUUAAAAAAACAAACGUUUUGAGAAAAAAACUUCGAGUUAAUUUUGUUCUUGAUUUUAUUGACAGUAGCCUGGGUUUCCCCAUACGGUCUUGUGUCGCACAAUUUUAUUCACGAUGUUGGGUAGUCUGGAUACCAUGGACCAAAUUUUCGCCUCAGCGAGGGGACCAAAUGGGCAUUCAUAAACCACGCCUCAAAUACGAGAAAAUGAACACAUGGUUUCCAGACCCAAGUCUCGAUGUCAAUGAGACGUGGUCUGACGUUGGCCAGGCCACAUUGACAGUAGCCUACCUGAAAAAUGUAAAGCACCAGGCUAUUUAAUUUAUAUCUUUCUAAUGUUGUGUUUGUUAUUUUGAAUCUUUCCUUCGUUUUAAUAGCAAAGAUAAAAUUAUACUAUAUUGUGAUUUUAUAAGAUUACAUUUAAAAAAAAUAUAUAAUAAAUUACCUGUGAAAUUAAAUUACGGUCCUAUCCUGAAAGGUUAGUACAUGUGAUUGACAUAAUGUAAUAAUUGAAAUCAUCUCUGUAAGGAGAUGUUUACACUGUGGCAUGUAAUUCUUUUUAAAUAAAGGAGAGGGAAUGGUCAAAAAGCAGGGCAGGAACAUGCUGGUCAAGUGAGUUUUUAAUUUAAGAAUUUUAAGUUCUGUUAUUCAGUUACUUUUACUGUGUUUUAGUUUUUUGCCGUGGUAAUGGUUCAGAUUGAGAUGUUUUAGAUGGGUAUUGAAGGUUAUAAUAUGGCCACACAAGUUUGUUUUAUCACAUAAGUGGUUUUAUGUACCAUUUGUUUAUUUAAAGUUGGUUUCUCAGCUCUGGCCCUUGAGAUCCACUUUCCUGCAAAGUUUUCUUCAAACACACCUGAACAAGCUGAUCGAGGUCUUCAGGAUUACUAGAAAGUUACAGUCAGGUGAGUUUGAUCAAGGAGUGAAACUCUGCAGGAGAGUGGACCUUGAGGGCCAGAGUUGAGAAGCCUUGGUUUAAAGGUACACUAUGUAACUUUUGGCUCUAUAUCGGUUAAGAAAUAAAACUGCGCGCAUUUUGCGGAAUAACAUGGUUUUGGUAGUAACAUAAACAGAUGUAGAUGCACCAAGUUUUCGGGGGUUUUUUAGCUAGAAAACCUUGUCAGUGUAAUAUUUUUUGCAUGUCAGGGUUUCCGUGAUGAGAGUCUGCUUGGCUCCGAUGAAGAUGGAUAGAUCACAGAUCCUUUGCCUGUGCCGCUUGUUGUCAGUUCAGAAGAAAGUUUAGGUUGUUGCUGUUUAGGUGUUACACACCUACCUGUGAGUUUCUGGUGAUCCUGAAGACCUUGAUUAGCUUGCUCAGGUGUGUUUGAGCUAAACUCUGCAGGACAGUAGGGCUGCAACUAACGACUAUUUUAAUAGUCGACUAGUCACCGACUAUUGAAACGAUUAGUCGACUAAUCGGAUAAUUAUUAAAUUUUUCUAAACUUUAGCAUGAGAUUGCUUUAAUUCUGUGGAAAAUGAUGGUAAAAACAAGAAAGAAGGGGGUACUUCAAUGAAAAAUGCAUAUUUUAUUGAACUUUGCUGCUGAUGGGCCGAUUCAUAUUAAAA